UACGUAGGGGGCAAGCGUUAUCCGGAUUUACUGGGUGUAAAGGGAGCGUAGACGGUGAUGCAAGUCAGAAGUGAAAGCCCGGGGCUCAACUCCGGGACUGCUUUUGAAACUGUUGAUCUUGAGUACUGGAGAGGCAGACGGAAUUCCUAGUGUAGCGGUGAAAUGCGUAGAUAUUAGGAGGAACACCAGUGGCGAAGGCGGUCUGCUGGACAGCAACUGACGGUGAGGCGCGAAAGCGUGGGGAGCAAACAGG
rnacentral:rRNA from 1 species